rnacentral:snRNA from 1 species
GUGCUCACUUCGGCAGCACAUAUACUAAAAUUGGAACGAUACAGAGAUUAGCAUGGCCCCUGUGCAAGGAUGACACUCAAAUUCAUGAAGCGUUUCAUAUUUUU